CCUACGGGUGGCAGCAGUGGGGAAUAUUGGACAAUGGGCGAAAGCCUGAUCCAGCCAUGCCGCGUGUGUGAAGAAGGCCUUCGGGUUGUAAAGCACUUUCAGUGGGGAAGAAAGCCUUGGGGCUAAUACCCUCGAGGAAGGACAUCACCCACAGAAGAAGCACCGGCUAACUCCGUGCCAGCAGCCGCGGUAAUACGGAGGGUGCGAGCGUUAAUCGGAAUUACUGGGCGUAAAGCGCGCGUAGGCGGUCUGAUAAGCCGGUUGUGAAAGCCCCGGGCUCAACCUGGGAACGGCAUCCGGAACUGUCAGGCUAGAGUGCAGGAGAGGAAGGUAGAAUUCCCGGUGUAGCGGUGAAAUGCGUAGAGAUCGGGAGGAAUACCAGUGGCGAGGCGGCCUUCUGGACUGACACUGACGCUGAGGUGCGAAAGCGUGUGUAGCAAACAGGAUUAGAUACCCCAGUAGUC
rnacentral:rRNA from 1 species